UUACAUAAUUAUUGUGGCUAUCAACUUUCAAAAGCAUUUUUCAAAAUUUUUUUAAAAAAUAAUUAAAACUUAAGUACAUUAUCUGCAUUUCGCGCUAAAUCAUGUCCUACUCAGGAUGUUCGAUGCAACCUAGUCAGCCAAAAACAUCAUGCCCAUCUAGAUUUACUUGCCUCAGUAAUUUGCCGCCACACGUCUGCAUUGUAUCGCCCAUUUCUCAAGGACCACGCUGGAAACCUUGUUGUAUUGUUAAAUACGGUUUUCCUUGCAAAGCUCACGCUCGUCUGCAAAGACUUGACAGCGAAAUACACCGCUUGCCAGACAGACGACGUGUCGUCAGCGGUUAAUCUAGCCAGAUAGGAGAAGAUCCGAGGAAUUUGCAAUAAGUCGCUGCGGGAAGGCAAGCAAAAAGACAAUGCUUAGUACGCACACGGGACUGGACUUACUUUCAGCGUGUCAAGGACACCAGUGACAGGUCCUCUCGGCCUAAUUCCUUGCGAUGAGCAGCCGAUUUAAAUCUCGCUAAUAUGUGACAUUUAUUCUCUGUAAAAUACGUUCAGUUAUAAGUCAGUUGCGACAAU